GAGAAUGUGCUUUGCUGAGGGAUACAGGAAGACCAAUUUGGCUAAGUAAAGGUACUUAAAAGGGCAAUAUAUAAAACAGGAUCACAUGGGAUUUUUAAAAAUUCUUUCUGUGUCUCUUUCUCUUGUCUUCUAUGUAAUCAUGUGGUUUGUUCCUUAAGUUUUAUGCCUUCCCCAAUUUAACUGAGAUUUAUUGUGGGAAUGAUCAGUGUGUGUGUGUAAACCUCAGAGUUUUGUUUUCCUCUCUGUGUCCUUAUGUGUGUGUGUGUGUGUGUGUGUCUGUUAGCAACACAAGAUGUUGCCCUCUUAGGAAUUGUUACAGAGAUGAGUUAGAAAUUAUAAUAGGUAGAAAGAGGGUGUCAUCACUUGAGACUUUCAAGAAGAGAUUGGACUGCCAUUUGUCAGAAAUGGUGUAGGGUCUCCCGCUUGGGUGGAGGGGUUGGACCAGAUGACCUACAAUGUCCUUUCCAACUCUCAUUAUCUGUUAUCUGUUGAAGUUGUUGUUAAAUGAGCUAUCUGUCAAGGAUAAAAGAACAUUAUUGUGUUGGUGUAGCUGUGUGAAAGUAAUAGAAGUAAGAGACGGACUUUUUGUCUA